GACGAACGCUGGCGGCGUGCCUAAUACAUGCAAGUAGAACGCUGAAGGAGGAGCUUGCUCUUCUGGAUGAGUUGCGAACGGGUGAGUAACGCGUAGGUAACCUGCCUGGUAGCGGGGGAUAACUAUUGGAAACGAUAGCUAAUACCGCAUAACAGUAUAUGUUGCAUGACAUUUUCUUAAAAGUUGCAAUUUCAUCACUACCAGAUGGACCUGCGUUGUAUUAGCUAGUUGGUGGGGUAACGGCUCACCAAGGCGACGAUACAUAGCCGACCUGAGAGGGGGAUCGGCCACACUGGGAAUGAGACAAGGCCCAGACUCCUACGGGAGGCAGCAGGAGGGAAUCUUAGGCAAUGGACGGAAGUCUGAACGAGCAACGCCGCGGGAGUGAAGAAGGUUGUCGGAUCGUAAAGAUCUGUUGUAAGAGAAGAAAGAGUGUGAGAGUGGAAAGUUCACACUGUGACGGUAUCUUACCAGAAAGGGACGGCUAACUACGUG
rnacentral:rRNA from 1 species